rnacentral:rRNA from 1 species
GACGAACGCUGGCGGGGUGCCUAAUACAUGCAAGUAGAACGCUGAAGGAGGAGCUUGCUUCUCUGGAUGAGUUGCGAACGGGUGAGUAACGCGUAGGUAACCUGCCUGGUAGCGGGGGAUAACUAUUGGAAACGAUAGCUAAUACCGCAUAAUAGUAGAUGUCGCAUGACAUUUGCUUAAAAGGUGCAAUUGCAUCACUACCAGAUGGACCUGCGUUGUAUUAGCUAGUUGGUGAGGUAACGGCUCACCAAGGCAACGAUACAUAGCCGACCUGAGAGGGUGAUCGGCCACACUGGGACUGAGACACGGCCCAGACUCCUACGGGAGGCAGCAGUAGGGAAUCUUCGGCAAUGGACGGAAGUCUGACCGAGCAACGCCGCGUGAGUGAAGAAGGUUUUCGGAUCGUAAAGCUCUGUUGUAAGAGAAGAACGAGUGUGAGAGUGGAAAGUUCACACUGUGACGGUAUCUUACCAGAAAGGGACGGCUAACUACGUG